rnacentral:lncRNA from 1 species
GGGGUUUCCCUUCUCCUUCUCUAAUCUGAAACACUUUCUUAGUCUCUCUAGUCUCUCAUCCUGAAUCUCUAUACACGUUCUCAGUCUUGUUACUAAUCUCUUAAACACUUAGACACACCAACACUCAUCAAACUUCCUUUCUCUCAAAUCGCUUCCAAGCUCUCUCUCUUUACCCAUUUGGGUUUCAUACACACAUACAAC